GUCUCCCACUGUCGAUGAUGGGAGGGAAGAGAGAAGCGAAAGUGAAACUUUGCGAUGAGAAGCGGGAUGACUGGGAGAGCAGGGGCAGGGAGCGAGGGAGUCUCUCCAGAGUACUGGGAGGGCGACAGAGACAGAAGGAUUAGAGAUUACUUUUUGCCAAAAUCUGGAGCACAGGUCAAAAUUCCCGGACGUCACGACUCUGCUGUCAACAGAUGGCUGAAACUAUUUUACUUCCCAUAAAGGCAAAGGAAUACCUUCGAGUACAGGAACUGUGAUCAGAGAUCUUCAUGGUACAUGGCAUUUGGUCAUCACGAAACUGUCAAAUCAGCACCCAGCUUUGUUUUGAUAAGCUGAAGAAAUCAAACUCUUUGAGACUUUCAUUUUAAGAUAUUUUCUCCUGUUUUCAGAAAGUCAUGGAGCAAACUUGGAUAUCAGACCUCUGACUAUCUACUUAGCUUGUUCACCAGCACCCUGAGAGACAAGGCUUGAUGCAGAUUUCUGAUGUGAUUUGGCAGGUUCUGCGAAAAUAACUGCAAGACUUGCUGCUUUAUUGCUUGUCACACAAUAUUCAUACAUUUUUCAUUCAGCUGUAUCUUCUUUACAUAAGCUUUAUUUUUUUUGCCACUUUCUAGAUUUAUUCUUGCCAACAAACAUUUCCAUUUGUUUUUCUAUCAGCUUCUUCCCUCAAGAUGAACUCCCUGCUAGGAUGCAAAUCCAGACUACUUUCACGUCUUUCUAAGACUUUAUGUUUUAGUUACAAAGUUCCUUCUCUGCAACUGGGAAACUUCUCUGCCAAUACAGAUAUGGUUACAUACACUUUUUAAAAUGUCUAUCAAAUACUGAAGUUGAUACCUCACAGGGAUUCAGAGAAGAAAUUACAUUUUACAGUGUUUCUUGAGCUGCAUGCAAAUAUUUGAAAUCUUGUGGAUUUGGUUCAUGUGCUUUUUCCGUGACCAUCUUUGUCUUCUGUUUUAAGUGAAUGAAGA